rnacentral:rRNA from 1 species
AGUUCGUAGCUGAACUGCGGAAAGGAUCAUUA